GAGUUUGAUCCUGGCUCAGAUUGAACGCUGGCGGAAUGCUUUACACAUGCAAGUCGAACGGCAGGCACGGGGCAACCUGGUGGCGAGUGGCGAACGGGUGAGUAAUACAUCGGAACGUGCCCAAUCGUGGGGGAUAACGUAGCGAAAGUUACGCUAAUACCGCAUACGAUCUACGGAUGAAAGCGGGGGAUCGCAAGACCUCGCGCGAAUGGAGCGGCCGAUGUCAGAUUAGGUAGUUGGUGGGGUAAAGGCUCACCAAGCCGACGAUCUGUAGCUGGUCUGAGAGGACGACCAGCCACACUGGGACUGAGACACGGCCCUGACUCCUACGGGAGGCAGCAGUGGGGAAUUUUGGACAAUGGGCGCAAGCCUGAUCCAGCCAUUCCGCGUGCAGGAUGAAGGCCUUCGGGUUGUAAACUGCUUUUGUACGGAACGAAACGGUUCUCUCUAAUACAGGGGGCUAAUGACGGUACCGUAAGAAUAAGCACCGGCUAACUACGUG
rnacentral:rRNA from 1 species